CGCCGUGUCGGGGCGCCGGCGGCCGCGCAUGCGCACAGCAGAGGCAGCGCGGGGCUGGCGCGGCGGCGGCGGGUGCCAUGCAGGCGGCCCUGGAGAUCACGGCGCGCUACUGCCGCAGCGAGAUGGAGCAGUACGGGCGGUGCGUGGCUGCCAGCCCUGCCUCCUGGCAGAGCGACUGCCACAGCCUGCGCGUCAGCAUGUCCCGCUGCGCCGCCGCCCACCCGAUCGUGCAGCAGAUCCGGCAGGACUGUGCCGAGCCCUUCGCCGCCUUUGAGCAGUGUCUGAAGGAGAACCAAGCCUCUGUCGUGAACUGCACUGAGCACGUCAACCGGUUCCUGCUCUGCGCCGAUCAGGUGAAGCUGUCCACAUGAGGAAAUUGUGGGAGCUCUGCCUUGAGAUGACUAGGAACAGGCACUGCAGACUGUUGGGCACACAGAGGUACCGUGAGCAGGUCUGAAUGCCAGCAUUGUCACAGUAAGAAGGGAGAAGACGGGGAAAGACAGAGACAGCAGGACAGUCUAGGAAAGAAGGGGCCAUGUUCUCCAGCAGCGUGUUAGCAGCACCUGAGACUUAGAGCUGCCAGGCCUCUAGAGAAGAUGAAUGAGCAGAAACAGCAGAGUAGAAGUGAGUGGGGACUGGAAAACAGAAGGCAGGAAAACACUACCUUGGAAGAAGCAAGGGAGAAGGAGCAGCAUAACCCCUCUGCCCAUGCAUGUAUGUGUUAUGUGGCCUCCUCUGUACCUAACAUACAAAGCAUGUGAAUCUGCUAUGAUGCUCACUAAGGACUUUGUGAUAGCUCAUAGUUUUAGCUCUGUAUAUUCCUGGUGUAGUCACUGUGUUUUAGACAAGAUGACAAGCAUUGGCCAUCAGGGCUGAAGAGCUGAGCAGAGACCUGUCAAAUGGAAGAGGACUGGAAGCCCUUGAAGGAUAGGUCAGUGGAUCUCAUUUUCAGGAUACUAUAUGACAACAGCAGCACUCAUUCAACAUUGCCAGCUGUCACCCAUGUUUAUUUAGCAUCUUGUUUCACAUGGAAUUUCUAACAAAGGAAAUAAAGCAUGAAGAGAUUGCAUGAUA